rnacentral:misc_RNA from 1 species
UCGAAACUUGCAAAAGACCCGUGAACUAGUUAUCAACAUGUGGGGGACUAUCCCUUAGCUCCUUCGUGCCAGUGGUGGGUAACCGUGUCGUUUCGGCGGCAUGAUUGACCAACACCUGGACAAACUAACCAACCCCGGCGCGGCAUGCGCCAAGGAACUCCGCAAUAAAUGUGGAAACGCUACCGGUCGUUCCGAAAAUCGGAUAAAGCGGCCGUGUUGUGGACCACUUUUUCAUUACAAAACGACUCUCGGCAACGGAUAUCUAGGCUCUUGCAUCGAUGAAGAACGUAGCGAAAUGCGAUACUUGGUGUGAAUUGCAGAAUCCCGUGAACCAUCGAGUCUUUGAACGCAAGUUGCGCCCGAAGCCUCUUGGCCAAGGGCACGUCUGCCUGGGUGUCACACAUCGUCCCCACCGAAACAAAUACUCCUCCUUGUAGGUAGGUGUUUGGUAAGAGGAUGGGCGGAGAAUGGUCUCCCGUGCGCGGUUGCUCGCGGUUGGCCUAAAAAUAAGUUCCUGGUGAUAGCAAGCCAUGACCAGCGGUGGUUGAAAGACCCUCGAUGGGUGUCGUGAGAACUUGCAUCGCAUGUUGGGAGAUUCUGACCCUGAUCGUGUUUAAGCAUAUCAAACACUCAUGAA